UAGGGAAUCUUCGGCAAUGGGGGCAACCCUGACCGAGCAACGCCGCGUGAGUGAAGAAGGUUUUCGGAUCGUAAAGCUCUGUUGUAAGAGAAGAAUGACAUUGAGAGUAACUGUUCAAUGUGUGACGGUAUCUUACCAGAAAGGAACGGCUAAAUACGUGCUAG
rnacentral:rRNA from 1 species